rnacentral:rRNA from 1 species
UACGAAGGGGGCUAGCGCUGUUCGGAAUUACUGGGCGUAAAGCGUGCGCAGGCGGUUUUCCAAGUCAGUGGUGAAAGCCCGGAGCUCAACUCCGGAACUGCCAUUGAAACUGUGAAACUAGAGUACGAGAGAGGUGAGUGGAAUUCCCAGUGUAGAGGUGAAAUUCGUAGAUAUUGGGAAGAACACCGAUGGCGAAGGCGGCUCACUGGCUCGUUUCUGACGCUCAGGCGCGACAGCGUGGGGAUCAAACAGG